rnacentral:lncRNA from 10 species
GCACAAGUCCUCUCUCUCUUUUCCUGCCGCCAUCCACCUAAGAUGUGACUUGCUCCUUGCCUUCCACCAUGAUUGUGAGGCCUCCCCAGCCAUGUGGAAAUCAUGUUCCAGAAGGCCAGGGCGGUCGGUUCUGCUGCACAAAUGAGGUCAGAGCAAUCAAGAGAGCCAAGGAAGUCCUACUUAUCUGGAUUAAAUAACUCAAUCUACAAACUACUCAACUUUAAUAUAAGGUGGAAAAUAGGAUUUCAAAAGAAAAGAAGAAGGAGAAGAACAAGGACAAGAAACUGAGUUUUGGCAGAAGGCUAGAAUACAGUGGUGUGGGCCUACUUCACUGCAGCCUGUAACUCCUGGGCUCAAGUAAUCCUCCCAUCUCAGCCUCUUGAGUAGCUGGGACUACAAGCACAUGCCCAGCUAAAUUUUUUAUUUUGUUGUAUGGACAGGAUCUGCCUAUGCUGACCAGGUUGGUACAAAUGAAGUUUUAUUGGAACACAGCUACACCCAUUCCUUUGUAUAUUAUCUAUGUCUGCUUUCAUGCUACAACAGAGUUGAAUGAUUACCACAAUUACUGUAUGGCUCAGAAAGCCUAGAAUAUUUGUUGUCUGGCCCUUCACAGGAAAAAAAAAAAAAAGUCAAUUCCUGGCCUAGAGGAUUGAGAGAAGCUUUAUGAUUGACCUGUAUUUUGAAGGAAAGAAGUUUGUACUGGCAAAGUCAUAAGUGAGGGGUGAUUUUGGGGGAAAGGAAUGUGCCAGCAUAGCACUGGAAAGACACCUGGCUUACUCAGAAGGUAGUGAACACAUCAGUGCCACUGGGGUGAAAAGCUUAUGAAGAAACUUAAGAUGAAUGAUGCAUACUGAAAAGACAGGUGGGGCUCAUCUUGAGGACAGUCUUGAAUGCUUGGCUUGAGGAUGGGGAGGAAAGAAGUACUUCCCAUGCCCCUACACCACUUCUAUUUUCCUGUGGAAAAUAAAGACCAAGUAAGCAUUUUUUUAAAAAAACUGAAGAGUGACCUAUUCAAAGGAAAUUUGAUAGAAAAACCUUCCAUCAACUAAUUUGGCAACAAUUGUGUAGAAUGGAAGGUUGGUAGGAAGAGAAUAAUAAAAAGAUAAAGGAUAUUAAAAACAAAGAUUUAGUUAGAAGACUCUUAAAUUGUUCUAUCAGUAAAAAAGCAAGACAAAGAGAGAACUGUGUGGCUGCCUUAUGGAUAUCUGUACACCCAAAGAUCUACAUAGAGAACACACUUAAUGUACAAUGGGCAAAUAAAGGCACAAAUGGAUAAAAGGGCAGUAGGAAAGAGGGAAGUGGAGAUGAGAAGGACCGCAGGAAAUGGGGAAAGGAAAACAUUGAUGGAUUUUGGCAACUGACUGAGUGAAGAAAACAAAAAAUAGACACAUUAGUAGAUUAAGGUAAGCAAGGAAACCAUGUUUAACAUUUAGCUUUACCCAUGCAGAAUUUUAGGCAACAAAAGGUCAUUCACAAGAAACUGUCUAGCAGCAAUUGGAAAUGUGAGACGCUAGCUCUGGAGCAAGAUCAGUCAAGAUAGGGAUGAGAAGCACCCAUCUAUUCUUCAGAGAUAAGUCUAACAAUCCCAACGUGCUUCUCAUGAAUAACUGGCAGGAACUUACUAUGCCUAGAUUUAUUUUAGGAUGGGUAUGCAACUUUCUAAACCUUCCAGAGUGAGUUAUAUAGACAGAAUUUCUCACUGUGCAGCAGUUUGCAUCGUAUAUUAAAGAUGAACUUAUUAACAUGACAUUCAUUGUCCUCAGAGAUUCCACAAUCACAUCACAAUUUGCACUAACAAAAAGAGGAAGGGAAGGAG